rnacentral:pre_miRNA from 1 species
UCUUGCGGAUAAGCAAAGAAAGUGGCUUAUUGAGUUAGAAUCUACUCCUAGUGAAGAUGCCGUGAA